rnacentral:rRNA from 1 species
UACAGAGGGUGCGAGCGUUAAUCGGAAUUACUGGGCGUAAAGCGCGCGUAGGCGGCUUGGUAUGUCGGGUGUGAAAUCCCCGGGCUCAACCUGGGAACUGCAUCCGAAACUGCCUUGCUAGAGUAUGGGAGAGGGAAGUGGAAUUUCCGGUGUAGCAGUGAAAUGCGUAGAUAUCGGAAGGAACAUCAGUGGCGAAGGCGACUUCCUGGACCAAUACUGACGCUCAAGUGCGAAAGCGUGGGGAGCAAACAGG